rnacentral:tRNA from 1 species
GGGCCUGUAGCCUAAUGGUUACAACGAGCCUCAGUAGCACCUGAGGUCCUGGGUUCGACUCCCCGUGGGAGCG